rnacentral:tRNA from 1 species
GGGUCCAUAGCUCAGCAGUAGAGGAUUCAAUUGCAGAUCAAGAGGUCACCGGUUUGAUCCCGGUUGGGCCCA